AGUUUUUCCAGCACAUUCUUUUACAGAAUCUGUUUCAGUUCUAAGGAAAUGAUGCCUUUGUUGCCAAAAGGAGCUUUUGCUUCCUUUUCAUCUGUGGUAUAAAUGCUAAAAGGUCAAAGUCACGAACUGGAGACGGAUCGCACACAUUCUGAAGAUGGAAAAGAGUCUAAAAGAGUUCUUGGUGUCUGUCAUUCACAGCCUGCCCCCCAGCCAAGGCAAUUUCUGGCAGGAAUUUCUUCAUGUUUCCCAGGAUAUCUCUCCCUUUGCUGUUCCUGUGGGAUUGGCUGCUACGCUUAUGUCCCUUCUAUCAGCCGUCUUCGUGGCAUAUAAAUGGAGGAGAACCAAAA